UGCGGGGGGCGCAAGCGUUGUUCGGAUUUACUGGGCGUAAAGGGCGCGUAGGCGGUCAGCACAAGUCAGUUGUGAAAUCUCCGAGCUUAACUCGGAAAGGUCAACUGAUACUGUGCGACUAGAGUGCAGAAGGGGCAACUGGAAUUCUUGGUGUAGCGGUGAAAUGCGUAGAUAUCAAGAGGAACACCUGCGGCGAAGGCGGGUUGCUGGGCUGACACUGACGCUGAAGCGCGAAAGCGUGGGGAGCGAACCGG
rnacentral:rRNA from 1 species